CGUCACCACAGCUUCAGGCCUGGGGGGCUUCGGCCACUGAGAUGAGGGGUUCAGGCCAGGUUUCAGAGUCCCACCAGGCCUCCCUCUUGCAACAGAAGGAAAGUCCACACUGAGGAGGAUCAUGGCCUGCUACGGUCGAAGUGCAAGGCACGCGUCAGAAGCAGUGGCUCCUUCUGCAGCAGGACUCACCUACUGACUCAGAAGGACGUCCUCCAGGGACAGCCAGCUCCUCCUCUGAGCGCACAGCCCAUGUCCUCUGCUGUGCGCUCCUCGCGCGAACCGACCCCACCUCGGACCGGAAGCCACCUUGGGCUGGAGGAUGCCAUGAAGUCUCUCUGGUUCAACGUGCAUGCACCGUCUCACUUAACCUGGGUUACUCUGUAUGAGUUGCACAGAAAAGGCCAACAUGGACAUCUGAGGACAGACAGCACAGGAGUACAGGAACUAAUGCAAAUUGCAUGUGAAUGACAUCCCCAUGCAGGCCACUACUGACCACACUUACCCUCCCAUUUCACACACCUGCUUGGGACUAUCCUUCCUGGAGGCCACUGGAACUUCUGGAGCCACCUGCAGCACUUCUGAUGCAUUUCCUAGAAGCUUUUGCACCUGCAAGAGAAACGAGGUUGAAGCAGUGUUGCAGUGUUGGUAUUGCUGUGGUGUGACUUUGUUCUAGUUUAGGUUUAACAAAGUUAAACAAUAUACAUCCAGAUCCACGUUGAUAUGCUGGACAUAAGAUUGGGUUGUGUUUAGCUCUGAGUCACGCCCUGAAGAAACCCCUGCGAGGCAUCCUGUUUGCCUCUGUGAGUGGAGCGAGGGAGCCAGCUCCCUGAAUCAGCCCAUCUCCGAGGUGGCUCCGAACAUUGUUGCUGGAAGCUUAGAGUCCAGCCUUAUUCUCUAGUCCUUCCAACAAUUAAACCAGCUGAAUGUGGAUUCUCUUUGCAACUGAGAACCUAACUGACAGAGCUGGCCGCAUGUUCCUGGUCAUUGUAGAUCUUUGGGGAUGCCCAGGUGUGCAGAGGUAACUCCUGGUUGGUGACCCAUGAGGACACUUCCUAUGCAAACAUCAAGGAUGUCUACUUCGUGCCAUGUCGUGAAUUCUCAGGGUAGGUAAUUUCGACUCGUGGCCAUGAGCAAAAGGAAGCCCGAUGUGUUUCUGUUUAAGCCUCUCAUGAUUUUUUUCCACAAAUGCUCUCACUUGGCUGGUUUUCUGCAGCCAAACAUCAGACCUUUUACUGCACCCAGACACCUGGGACAGCCUUUUCCUCACAGAGGGUUGAGGUAUCCUUAUCUUAUCUGCUCACCCAGCAUGCACUUUCACCAGCAGCCCUGCUUGUGCAGUGAGCAGCCAACAGAAGCCUGCUUCCUGACGCUUCCGGCUCCUCCCUACAUGGGACUCUGAGGUGUUCUUGAGCCAUGUGACAAACCAACACUUCAAGAUGAACCCUCUGGGGCCCUGGACUCUGACUUAAAGCUGAGGAAGAGGCAUAAGUGACAUUACUCUUCUGGGUGGCAACAUGUGUGAAAAUUGCCCUCUAGGGAAAGACAACUUGGAUUGAAUCAAACGCUAGAGCAAGCUGCACUCAUUUGCCAAAUCCCCUAAACACACAUGUGAAUUUAUUUGUAUCUAAUUAUUGAUUAAACCCCAUUGAUCCCCUUCUUGUGCCCUCAUCCCUCGAAAGACCAUGAUGAUCAUCCAGAGAAACCCAGCCAGAGAAACACGGAUCCCGGGGCCUGCCUGGCUCUCAGCCCCACAGCUCGCUGGCAGGCC
rnacentral:lncRNA from 1 species